GGAGGACAUCUGCUUCCACCCUGAAGUCCGCCCUCCUGCUGCUAGGUACUUUUUAGCUACUGAGCUCCCAGCAGGUAUGAAGUUAUUCAGAAGGCAGAAGACACUUGUGUCCUUCCUUCAGCUACUGGGCUUUCCCCCAUGAAUCUUGUGUGCUGGGGAAAGAAAAGGCUGAAGCUUGUGUGCGCCAGCUAGAAGAGGAGUUUGUCACCCAGUAAGCGAUAUCGCAGUUUUGGCAACUGGUCAGACUAUUUUGUGGGAUAGACUGGAACUGAGAUAAUGGUGGAUCAAUAACCGGCAAGACCUUGACCAAGACUGCUUAGUUAUGCACACCACUUGCUUUCUAUUUGAGAACCUGAACCUCAUGUCAGGACUCCAAGAUGGACUUGGGAACAGAGAGUGAACAGAGAAAGAGGCUCGAGACCGGCACCCCUUCCCUCUGAGCCACAUUUGCGCUACUCAGAAGAAACUUCUC